AACGAACGCUGGCGGCAUGCCUAACACAUGCAAGUCGAACGAGACCUUCGGGUCUAGUGGCGCACGGGUGCGUAACGCGUGGGAACCUGCCCUUAGGUUCGGAAUAACUCCCCGAAAGGGGUGCUAAUACCGGAUAAUGUCUUCGGACCAAAGAUUUAUCGCCUUUGGAUGGGCCCGCGUUGGAUUAGCUAGUUGGUAGGGUAAAAGCCUACCAAGGCGACGAUCCAUAGCUGGUCUGAGAGGAUGAUCAGCCACACUGGGACUGAGACACGGCCCAGACUCCUACGGAAGGCAGCAGUAGGGAAUAUUGGACGAUGGGCGAAAGCCUGAUCCAGCAAUGCCGCGUGAGUGAUGAAGGCCUUAGGGUUGUAAAGCUCUUUUACCCGGGAUGAUAAUGACAGUACCGGGAGAAUAAGCUCCGGCUAACUCCGUG
rnacentral:rRNA from 1 species